ensembl:lncRNA novel transcript
GUAGAUUUCUGCAGAUCGCAACAAGCCUCGACUGCUUAUUGGCACAGUCUGCAAAGGGCCUCCUCCGUUCCAAAGUUGCUCAUCCUAAAACCUGAAAAAAAAAAUGACUCAGAAGUGGUUCCCAUCUCAAGAACUACCCACGAGUCUCAGUGGACACAUGUGAGUAUGAGAUUCCCCGAUGCAGCCUUCCAAUCCAGCAGAGGUUCCAACCAACUUCCAAACAGGUGCAACUUGAUGGCACCUCAUUUUUGGCUGUACCAGAUGCCUUCUAUCUCUGGACUCCUGCCCUCAGACUUCUCCGACACCUGAAGAAAGCUUCUGGGACAGCUGACAUGCACAACCUGGGAGCUAAAACAUGUGGGACCAGCUGUGACCAAUGAACAAUGAUGGACAGGAGACGAUAACCCCAUUAGUUCCUUACAGUGCUGAGAUAAAUUUCAUGAGUCUCCUAGAAGAUCUGAUGGGAUUGAACAUCAGUUGUACCUAGCAUGGCCGCUGUACUGGCUUUCCUUCCUUCCCUAUUUCAUCCCCCCUCGUCCCUCCUACUCCUUGGGAUCACAUUGACAAAUAAGUCUCUUGCAUGC